GACGAACGCUGGCGGCGUGCCUAAUACAUGCAAGUAGGACGCAGUUGCGAACGGGAGAGUAACGCGUAGGUCACUGCCUGUUAGAGGGGGAUGACUAUUGGAAACGAUAGCUAAUACCGCAUACUAGUAGAUGGACCUGCGUUGUAUUAGCUAGUAGGUAGGGUAAUGGCCUACCUAGGCAACGAUACAUAGCCGAACUGAGAGGGUGAGCGGCCACACUGGGACGGAGACACGGCCCAGACUCCGACGGGAUGCAGCAGUAGGGAAUCUUCGGCAAUGGGGGGAACCCUGACCGAGCAACGCCGGGGGAGUGAAGAAGGUUUUCGGAUUGUAAAGGUCUGUUGUUAAGGAAGCGGUACUUACCCAGAAAGGGACGGCUAACUACGUGCCAGCAGCCGCGGUAAUAC
rnacentral:rRNA from 1 species